AAACGCUGAAGGCAUCUAAGCGUGAAGCCCCCCUCAAGAUGAGAUAUCCAUACUCGAAAGAGUGAGAGACCCCUUAGAGACGAUGAGGUAGAUAGGGCAGAGAUGGAAGCACAGCGAUGUGUGGAGUUGACUGUUACUAAUCGGUCGAAAGCUUGACCUUA
rnacentral:rRNA from 1 species